UUCCUACGGGGGGCAGCAGUGGGGAAUAUUGCACAAUGGGGGAAACCCUGAUGCAGCGACGCCGCGUGAGUGAAGAAGUAUUUCGGUAUGUAAAGCUCUAUCAGCAGGGAAGAAAAAAGACGGUACCUGACUAAGAAGCCCCGGCUAACUACGUGCCAGCAGCCGCGGUAAUACGUAGGGGGCAAGCGUUAUCCGGAUUUACUGGGUGUAAAGGGAGCGUAGACGGCGCGGCAAGUCUGAAGUGAAAGGCAGGGGCUU
rnacentral:rRNA from 1 species